rnacentral:tRNA from 1 species
GGUGCUAUACUUUAUAUAGAAGAUUUGGUUUGCAACUAAGCAGAGGAAUAAUCCUAGUACCUC